UCCAGACUCCUACGGGAGGCAGCAGUGAGGAAUAUUGGUCAAUGGGCGCAAGCCUGAACCAGCCAAGUCGCGUGAGGGAAGACGGCCCUACGGGUUGUAAACCUCUUUUGCCGGGGAGCAAGCCUGAGCACGUGUGCCCAGGCGGAGAGUACCCGGAGAAAAAGCAUCGGCUAACUCCGUGCCGGCAGCCGCGGUAAUACGGAGGAUGCGAGCGUUAUCCGGAUUUAUUGGGUUUAAAGGGUGCGUAGGCGGACAGUAAAGCCGGCGGUAAAAGCCGGGGCCUCACCCCCGGCGAGCCGUUGAAACUGGCUGUCUUGAGAUGUCGAGAGGUAUGCGGAAUGCGCAGUGUAGCGGUGAAAUGCUUAGAUAUUGCGCAGAACUCCGAUUGCGAAGGCAGCAUACCGGCGGCGAUCUGACGCUGAGGCACGAAAGCGUGGGUAUCGAACAGGAUUAGAUACCCUUGUA
rnacentral:rRNA from 1 species